CCAAAAAAUUAAAAAAUAAAAAUAAAUGGCGCCAUACCAAAUUUUUACCCCAAAAUUUCAGUAUGUGGCGCCUUCUCUCUUAAUCCCUUCUCCCUCCUUCAGAGUUCAGAGUUCAGUCCUCCCUCCUUAACAACGCAGCUCCAGAGCCGAUAACCAUUUUCCACAGCAAUUUCUUCUCUCUCAAAUGAGAGUUCACCGCCAAAGCUUUUUCUCUCUAUCUACCGGCAAGUGCGAGGCCAUCUAUCGGCAUGGGACCAUGGAUCUAGAAGAACCGUCAGUGGCAAAAGACUCCAUAGAUCUACGAGAAUCACCAUCUGCGAUCAUCUACCAGCGAUUUGCGUGAAACCAUAGAUCUACGAUUUUUUUUUCCGAUUUUCUUUGGGUUUUAAGUAAAUGAGCUUAAGUUUGGACAAUGGUUUCGCAUCUCUGUUUUUUUUUUUUUUUUUUUCAUCUGGAGACCUUAAGAAAAGCUAGAGCAAGAGGAUAUUGAAGAUGUGAAAUCCAAACUUGAGAAAGAAAGGCAAAACUUUUUCAAGACACUCCAAUAGCUCAAAAGAGGUAUGCGUCUUCACAAGGAUUAAUUGCACUUGAUGGACUUCAUGUGGAGCAUUCCAAUUUUAUCUUCUAGUUUGAAUAUAUUCUGCUUGCUUACAUGCAGUGUGAGAACUUACUGAAGCAUUCCAAUGUUAUUGAGUAGUACAUUUCUUAA